rnacentral:sRNA from 1 species
UAAAGGAAGACCUGCCCGUAGAAGGGGCGC